rnacentral:rRNA from 1 species
UGUGUAGAUAUCGGGAAGAACACCAAUGGCGAAGGCAGGUCUCUGGGCUGUUACUGACGCUGAGAAGCGAAAGCGUGGGGAGCGAACAGGAUUAGAUACCCUGGUAGUCCACGCCGUAAACGGUGGACGCUGGAUGUGGGGCCCAUUCCACGGGUUCCGUGUCGGAGCUAACGCGUUAAGCGUCCCGCCUGGGGAGUACGGCCGCAAGGCUAAAACUCAAAGAAAUUGACGGGGGCCCGCACAAGCGGCGGAGCAUGCGGAUUAAUUCGAUGCAACGCGAAGAACCUUACCUGGGCUUGACAUGUGCCUGUCGACUGCAGAGAUGUGGUUUCCCUUCGGGGCAGGUUCACAGGUGGUGCAUGGUCGUCGUCAGCUCGUGUCGUGAGAUGUUGGGUUAAGUCCCGCAACGAGCGCAACCCUUGCCCUGUGUUGCCAGCGGGUUAUGCCGGGAACUCACGGGGGACCGCCGGGGUUAACUCGGAGGAAGGUGGGGAUGACGUCAGAUCAUCAUGCCCCUUACGUCCAGGGCUUCACGCAUGCUACAAUGGCCAGUACAACGGGUUGCGACAUGGUGACAUGGAGCUAAUCCCUUAAAACUGGUCUCAGUUCGGAUCGUAGUCUGCAACUCGACUACGUGAAGGCGGAGUCGCUAGUAAUCGCGAAUCAGCAACGUCGCGGUGAAUGCGUUCCCGGGCCU